UCGGGGGCGGGCUGUGGUGGUGGUCUGAUGGGGAGGGCGGCGGGUGGCGGCUUCGGGGCAGCUGCAAGACCCUCACCCCGUCCGAAGAGGAGGGAAGCUGGCCUGGCGCGUGAGGAGGAGCCCUGCGGGAUCGGACCCAGGCAGCACCCAGCCUCCUGCCUCCAACAGGGGGUCAGGCAGGAACUCCGCGUGGCAGAUAUGGUCUCCCACAUUUUAGUCUCAAACUUGAAAGGGGGACGCUCGGAAACAUUCAAAAACCUGAUCCCCACAUGCACCCUAAAGGAGCAGGCACACGCAGGAGACAUUCGGCGGCGGCUCCAGGAGGAGGGGGGUGACCCUGCGGCUUCUGCGGACGAGCAGCUGUGUUAUGUCUGGGGCUUGCUCCUGAGCGGCCGAGAGAAGCUGGGUUCAGUCACCAGCGAGUUGGAGCAGCUCCGGCAGCGGCAAGCAGAGGAGAUGCGAGAGGUGGAAAGCUACGUGCGCCACGUCCGUACCUUGACGGAGGUGCGGGAUGCUCUGGCGACUGCCUUUGAGAAAGAGAACAAGCAGCUGAGGAUGGAAUUGGUACAACUGCAGAGCAAGCAUGAAUCACAGCAGAAGGAGGUGGAGGAGAUGCUGGAGCAAGAAGGCUUGGUUGAGAUCACCCGCAGCAGCCCCAGCGAACAGGUGGCCUAUUUGCUGGUUGAGAGAAGCACGCUGCUGGAGAAACUGGAGGCCCUGGAGCAAAAGCUGGACUCCCCCAGCUGCCUGGAAAGCCUCUAUACUGCCCAGCUGCAGAAUGAAUUGGAUCACAUUCGUCAGAUGCUAGAAGACGAGCUUCAGGAACAACGCGAAUCCAUGCAGCGCACCAAAGAGAUGAUGAACAAAUCUCACGCUGAAGAGCUGGCAAGAGAGAUCGCCUUGCGCCAGUGUGCCGAACAAGACCUGGACGAAGCCGCACGCAGGCUGCAGAUGGCUCACGGGGAGAUCUGGAGGCGGGUGGAGGAAGUGGACGUGCAGGAGAAAGAGCAAAGCAAAUUGGAAAUGUCUGAGCUGCAGAAGGCCAGAGAGCAGAACGUCCAGCUGAACAAAGAAAUCCUGGCGUUACGCAACCGGGUCCGUUUCCUUGACUAUGAGAGAAGCCUGUUUCUGGACCAGGUUGCCACACUCAAAGACAAGAUUCCUGAGCAUCAGAAGCCUGAGGAGGAGCCUCAGCUUUUAUUAGCUGAAAUGGAAGAUGCUGAAAAACCUGAAGACUGUCGAAUGCAGGUCAAAAAUGAAACCGUGAAGACUCAAGAGGCAAGCGUUUCAGAUGAAGCCACCCCGGAUCGUGAAGACGAUGAGAUUGUUCAUAAAAGGUGCCGCCAAGUCAUCGAAGGCCUCCGGUGUCGCAACUCCCAGCUGGUGUACAGGCUCGACAAGCUGGCCAAGGAGCACGAGGAGCUGGUGGAGCGGAACGAAGAGCUGGAGUCGCUCCUGGGAGAGACGCAGAACCGAACCAAAGAGGAGCGCGAGCAGCUGGAGGCCGAGCUCGACGGGCUGCAGAGGAAGAUCUCCUUUUUAGAGGCAGAGCUACGUCAAGCCCAGAAGCUUAAAAUGGACGCAGCUGAUGAAGAACCAAGGAAAGAAGGGCAGGACUGCCAAGAGAUCUUGAAAACUCACCAGGAGGUGGUGGAAGUGCUGGAAAGCAAAUUGUCGGGGGAGACGGAGUGGAGGAAGCAGCUGGGCCGUGAGCUUGAAGGGACUCAGAAAGCAUUGAAAGAGGAAAAGAAGGAACUGCAGAACUCCAAGUCUGAACUCCUGCGGCUCUAUAGCGAACUGCAGAGGCUGCGGGGAGCAGCGGAGGAAAGAGAUUUUCUGAACGUGACGCAUGAGAAACUGCAGCAAGAGAACGCGCGCCUGGAAACAAAGGUUUCGGAGCUCUCCCAAGAAUGUGAGGAGCUGAACCGGUUUGUGACGGCUCAAAAGGUCUCAGGCAAAAGGUCAUCAGCAAGUGGAAGGACCUGCCUGCCGCCGGAGGAUAAGGAAAAGCUUCUGGAAGACAAGAUCCACAGCUUGGGAGAAGAGAAGGAGCAGUUGUGUGCCAAAUUCUUAGAGGGCACCAAGAAGACAGAGGAACUGGAGAAGCUGCUGAAGGGGAGCCAUGAAGAAAAGCAAGUCUUGUGGGAGGAAAACGCCCACUUGCGGAAAGACGUCUUGGCGCUCCGGCAGCAACUCAGCAGCGCCGCCAGCGUGAGGGCAAAGACGGAGACCGGCUUUGUGGAGAACCGGCCUCUCAAGCCCCAGAUCACUGCAGGGAGCGCCGAGGGUGACUUGAACCAGCGCCUGCCGGGAGAGAGACUUCUGCAGCAGCAGCGGCAGGAGGACCUCCAGCAACUCCGGCAGGACCUCCAGCGGGUUCAGAAUGUGUGCAGCUCGGCCGAGAAGGAGCUGCGGUACGAAAGGGAGAAGAACCUGGAGCUGAAGAAGCAGAGCAUCCUCUUCCAGCAAGAAAACGUCAAGACCAAAGCGGAGCUGAGGCAAGUGCAGCUGAAGCUGUCGGAUUCCUCCAAGGCGUGUUCCUCGCUCACCUCUCAGUGGGAGCUCAGCCACCAGAAGGUCAAGGAGUUGGAGCUGGAGCUGCUCAGGCAGGCCCAGGCAGCGAAGCAGCAGAGCGGCUUGCAAGAGAAACUGGCCCAGGAGAAAGCCAGAGCGGCCGAGGCGGAGAAAAGGGUGUUAGAGCUGCAGCGUCUGCUGAAAGAGUGCCACCACCAGGUACGACUCUCUGAGACCCACAUCUCGGGGAAGAAGCAGCUAGAGGAGGAUGUGAAGGAGGCCCGAGAGAUCAAAGUGGAGACUCAGCGGCAGCUGGAAGAAGAGCAACGGAAAAGGAAGCUCCUGGAGCAGCGGACAGAAGAGCUCCAGCUGCAGCUCCGACAGGCGCGCCAGAAAGAGACGGAGCUGGCUGCGAUGCAGGUCCAGUACCAGAACCAGGAAGCCCAGCGGCGGGUCUUGGAAGAAGAGAAGAAAGCGCUCUCCGACGAGCAUCUUCACUGUCAGAAAUAUAGCCGGAAACUCUCUGAGCAGCUGAUGGCCUUGCAACAGGAGAAGGAAAGCCUACACGAGGAAUAUGGGUACCUCCUCAAGCAGGUGGAGAUUUCUGUCAGGAAACACAGUGAGCGCCAUCUCCGCCAUAAAGCCAAGCUCCGGAGAGCCAAGGAGACCUUCAUCCACGAGGUGAAGCAGCGAGACGUACGCAUUAAGCAGCUUGAAGGUGAACUUCUGCUGUCCAAGAGCCAGACAGAAAAGAAUCAAGUGCUAAUGAGGCAAAUGACUGCAGAGAACGAGAGUUUGCUCCAGGAAAGAAGGAAGCUCUUGCUCCAGCAUCUCGAUCUAGAAGAAGCCGAGUGGAGCAGUAAACAGGUCGUCUCUACGAUCCAGAACAGGGCGCGGCUUUUGGAUGAAGAAAACAAGCAACUCCAGGAACGUGUCCUCCAGCUGACCAGCCAAGUUUGCGCCUUGAAGAGCGCGCUGCGGCGGACUCACUGCCACAGCUCAGAAGACCGGAGUAGCCCUGGCGUCUCUGAAUGUCAGCUCCAAAGCAAGAUGCUCCCCAUCUCCAGCGUAAGCCUCUCAGUGACGGAGCUCUCGGAUUCACUCAGCCUUCUGAAAGCUGUUGUGAGCAGGCUGCGGCACCCUCCCUUCAGGAGAGAAACAGAGACACAGCCCCUCCCAACUUGGGGGAGCAACAGAGGCUCUUCCUGCCUCUCAGUGACGGAGCUCUCGGAUUCACUCAGCCUUCUGAAAGCCAUUCAGGAUGGGAAACCCGAGGGAGCCACAGAAAGGCCUCUGCUCUCCCCUUCACCUCGGCAGCCUUCAGAGCUCAGUUACUUAAAUGUGGCCUCUCCAGGUGACGCCACGGACGUCCAGAAGGAGGAGGAGGAAGAGGAAGAAGAUCAGCCCUUCGGCGGUGAGCCUGUCUAAGAGGACAAGGGAAGAUUUUCGAAGGAGACGGAAGCGACUUCUGACUGCUAGUUAGUCUUGCUGUUGAGACUUCUUCAGAUGAUUUUCAUGAGACUUGAGAGACACAUGUACUGCAAAGAGGGGAAAUGGUUCAGCGCUAAAGAAGAAGCGCAGAGCAGCGUUCGCUCUUUUUUCCCCCCAUCCGUGUGUGGAAUGAGUUUUGUACUGGGUGGCAGUAUCAAGGCAGGCAGUGUGUGUGCACAUGCAUUCCUGAUUCGACGCGAGCGGGAUCGAAAAUCGAGCGGACUUCCAAAAAUGUGUGAGCGCACACACAGCGCACGUGCCUUAGAGGGCUGAGCACGGACAGGAGGGGUGCUUCUCUUGCCCAAGAUCUCGUCCGCCCAAGCCACAAGUGAUAGGCAUGUACCUCGGACAAACUCUGGCAACCCAGCUCCUGCAAGAUGAGAAUGAAGGGGAUUUUCAGCACAGAGCCGAACAGGCCCAUAAGGACGGCAUGCAGCAGAGCGAGAUGGCAGGGGUCAGCAAAGUAGUGAGCAAGACAUCAAGGAAGUUGAAAGUCAUGAGAACGAGGUAUGUAAAUUUAAAAGGCUAAUUUGAACAUUGAUUAUUGGGGUUGUGUGUGUGGCUGAAACAAAAAUUGAAACCAGCAGGCAUCCAUUUAUUCAUUUUGGCACACUGGAUGAUGGUAAUGCUUCUGCAGAUUAUUUGUAUUAUAAAUUUCCUGCCAACUGAGCAGAGAAGCACUUUUUAAAAGUGGCAAUUCUCUUUAUUUAGCAGAGGGAGAGGAACUGGCCCUAUCCAUCCCCAGACAAAAACAGAAAAGAGAGAAACCCACCCGUGGCUGGAACAAAAAAUAUAUUGAAAAGAUCAUUUAUUAGAAUAUAACAGCUGAAAAUAUAUACUGAUAACCAACCAAACAAUGGUUGGAAAAAUGAUAGCUUGAACCAGAAAUAAUAAAGAAAAACUAAUACUUAGAACAUGAAAGAUAAUAACAAAAGCAAUCUUAUGGAGAUAAUGCUGGGCAAAACAAAUGUGGGGCUGCAAAGCAACAAAAUGAGGCGGACAAGGCCCUGAGCUGACUGUCCCUAACUGGCUAACAUCGAAGGAGUGGCUGAAAUAAAGCCAUGAAGUUCAUAAAGAGCUAAAAAUCUACAAAACUGGGGUGGAUAACCUAAAUACUGAGACCGUUUAUGAAGCUCAGAGAGCGGAAAAACUGAAACGUUAAAUCUUCAAUAUCCAUAACAUAAAGCAGUGUGUGUGUGUGUGUGUGUGUGUGUGUGUGUGUGUGUGUGUGUGUGAUGGAAAUACUUUCAAUGGCGCUGUCUCAGUUGCAUCUGUGCAAGGGUUAAGAGGUGCAAACUCCAGAGAUAAGUCCAGCUGUGGGCGUUGCCUUGGUAAAAUGCAAGUUCAAUAAAUCUCAGGCAGUAGCUGUAGAAUGCUGUAAGAUAAAUAUGUUGCAAAGGCAGCACGUAUCAGCCUCCACAUGCCACUAGAUAAAUCUGACCUUCAUAUGACAAAAUGUGUAUGUCCAAUCGAGUACAUAUGGCUCUGUCCAGAUGCUUAAACAAGCCGUUUCGCAAAAUGCUUCAUCAGCCUCCUAUCUACCAAAGACAACCACUGGGCUCUGUGGGCUCCAGGACACGACGGCACACUUUACCUUUACAUACACUCACAUGUAUGCCCACCACAUUUUUCAUAGGAAAUAAGCACUGCGUUAAACCAGGAACGCCUGUCUUUUGCUGCUACCUUUUUUGCCCCUGCUAACUGGGCAAAGAGGCACCUUUUAAAUGUGGCGAUUCUCUUUAUUUAGCAGGGGUAGAGUAACUGGCCCUGUCCACCCCAGCACAGUACCUCCAGUGACUGUUGCUGGUGUCUAUCUUAUGUUUCUUUUUAAUUCUUACUUCAUAUUUAUGUUACUUUCCCACCAACCUUUCAUUUCUUCUAAUAACCUUUUCUGUUCAUUGUUUUCUUCCCUUUUCUAUUAUGAUUCUUGUGUAAUAUUGCUUUUGCUUCUUAAUUUCCGAUUCAUAGUGGAUGCAAAGCUGUCGUAGUUAAUCCCAACGUGCUUUGGAGGAAAAUUAGUAACAAAUCAGCCUCAAAUCUUUACCACAAGUGUCAAUUAAUUGUAGCAGAACAAUUAAUAAUAUUCUUGGUAAACACA